GAUGAAGAACGUAGCAAAAUGCGAUAAGUAAUGUGAAUUGCAGAAUUUCCGUGAAUCAUCGAAUCUUUGAACGCACAUUGCGCCCGCUAGUAUUCUGGCGGGCAUGCCUGUUCGAGCGUCAUUUCAACCAUCAAGCCUCAGGCUUGUGUUGGAGCCCUGCGGCUGCCGCGGCCUCCCAAAAACAGUGGCGGGCUCGCUAUCACACCGAGUGCAGUAGUUUACUCUUCGCUCAGGGCGUGUGGCGGGUGCUAGCCGUGAAACCCCCUACUUCUCAAGGUUGACCUCGGAUCAGGUAGGAAUACCCGCUGAACUUAAGCAUAUCAAUAAGCGGAGGA
rnacentral:misc_RNA from 1 species